rnacentral:tRNA from 1 species
GCAGCGGUAGUUCAGUUGGUUAGAAUACCGGCCUGUCUCGCCGGGGGUCGCGGGUUCGAGUCCCGUCCGCUGCGCCA